AUACGGAGGAUCCAAGCGUUAUCCGGAAUCAUUGGGUUUAAAGGGUCCGUAGGCGGGUUUGUAAGUCAGUGGUGAAAGUUUUCGGCUCAACCGGAAAAUUGCCAUUGAUACUGCAAGUCUUGAAUCAUUAUGAAGUGGUUAGAAUGUGUAGUGUAGCGGUGAAAUGCAUAGAUAUUACACAGAAUACCGAUUGCGAAGGCAGAUCACUAAUCAUGUAUUGACGCUAAGGGACGAAAGCGUGGGUAGCGAACAGGAUUAGAAACCCUAGUAGUCC
rnacentral:rRNA from 1 species